rnacentral:rRNA from 1 species
AAGACCAACCGGGAUUGCCCUAGUAACGGCGAGUGAAGCGGCAACAGCUCAAAUUUGAAAUCUGGAGCCUUUGGCUUCCGAGUUGUAAUUUGCAGAGGGAGCCUCGGAGGGCGAGACGGUCCAAGUGCCUUGGAACAGGAUACCGCAGAGGGUGAGAGUCCCGUAUCCGGCCGAUCUUGCGCUCCGUGUGAGGCCCCUUCGACGAGUCGAGUUGUUUGGGAAUGCAGCUCCAAGCGGGUGGUAAAUUCCAUCUAAAGCUAAAUACUGGCCAGAGACCGAUAGCGAACAAGUAGAGUGAUCGAAAGAUGAAAAGCACUUUGAAAAGAGAGUCAAACAGUACGUGAAAUUGUUGAAAGGGAAGCGCAUGGGGGCAGACUUGGACGCGGGGUUCAGCGUUUCUAUUGGAGCGUGUACUUCCCCGCGUGCAGGCCAGCAUCGGUUCCGGGGGCCGGACAAAGACGUUGGGAAUGUGGCUCCCCUCGGGGAGUGUUAUAGCCCGGCGUGCAAUGCGGCCACCUGGGACCGAGGACCGCGCCUUGUGCAAGGAUGCUGGCGUAAUGGCCUCAUGCGGCCCGUCUUGAAACACGGACCAAGGAGUCUAACAUCUAUGCGAGUGUUUGGGUGGCAAGCCCGGACGCGCAAUGAAAGUGAACGGAGGUGGGAGUCUGUUACAGGACGCACCAUCGACCGAUCCGGACGUCUUCUGAAGGAUUU